rnacentral:rRNA from 1 species
AUUGAACGCUAGCGGGAUGCCUUACACAUGCAAGUCGAACGGAGUGGCGAACGGGUAAGUAAUGUAUCGGAACGUGCCCAGUAGCGGGGGAUAACUACGCGAAAGCGUAGCUAAUACCGCAUACUAUUGGAGCGGCCGAUAGCGGAUUAGCUAGUUGGUGGGGUAACGGCUCCCCAAGGCGACGAUCGGUAGCUGGUUUGAGAGGACGACCAGCAAAACGGGGAGUGAGACAGGGCCCAGACUCCUCCGGGAGGCAGCAGUGGGGAAUUUUGGGCAAUGGGGGAAACCCUGAUCCAGCCAGCCCGCGUGGGCGAUGAAGGCUUUCGGGUUGUAAAGCACUUUUGGCAGGAAAGCGGUACCUGCAGAGUAAGCAACGGCUAACUACGUGCCAGCAGCCGCGGUAAUAC